rnacentral:rRNA from 1 species
GGCGAACGGGUGAGUAACACGUGGGUGAUCUGCCUUGCACUUCGGGAUAAGCUUGGGAAACUGGGUCUAAUACCGGAUAGGACAGCUGUUUAGUGUCAGUUGUGGAAAGUUUUUUCGGUGCAAGAUGAGCUCGCGGCCUAUCAGCUUGUUGGUGGGGUAAUGGCCUACCAAGGCGUCGACGGGUAGCCGGCCUGAGAGGGUGGACGGCCACAUUGGGACUGAGAUACGGCCCAG